rnacentral:lncRNA from 1 species
GUGGCUCACCAGUACUUCCAUGAAUCCAUAAUCAGAGGAAACUAAAUACCAUUUUAAGUUAGUGGCUCCAACUGAGACUGCAACGUAACCCAAGGGCGUCUUUCUGAGUGUGAGUGUGCAGAUCCACAGCUACGGGAGCAAAGUUCUGUGUUUCCCAUGAGGUAGUUCGCAUCUGCCAUUCUUCAUAUGGUCCAUGACAUGAGGGCAAAUCUGAAAUGUGGAGUUAUGGGAAGAGUUGUAGGUAGCAGAGAUCAAUCUUCAGGGGAGGACAGAAGGGACAAACCUGAAGCAAGCGUGUCCAAAGCGUUUGGCAGCGCUGAGCUUUGCUGUAAUCAGACAGCGCGCUUUCCUAGGUAACGAUAAUAGUAACAAAAAUGUGGUUUGGGGUUUUUUUAGGCGAUUUCUGUAGGAGCUGUGUGUCCAGGCACCAGGGGGAAGGCAGGAAAGCAGGUACAGCAUGCCAUGUGAACGGCUGGAGCCAC